rnacentral:rRNA from 1 species
AUUGAACGCUGGCGGCAGGCUUAACACAUGCAAGUCGAACGAGUGGCGGACGGGUGAGUAAUGCUUGUGAAUCUAGCUUAUGGAGGGGGAUAACUACGGGAAACUGUAGCUAUUACCGCGUACCAUAGGAUGAUCCCAAGUGGGAUUAGGUAGUUGGUGAGGUAAAGGCUCACCAAGCCGACGAUCUCUAGCUGGUCUGAGAGGAUGACCAGCCACACUGGGACUGAGGCACGGACCGGACUCCGACGGGAGGCAGGGGUGGGGAAUAGUGGGCGAUGGGAGAAACCUGAAGCCGCCAUGCCGCGUGAAUGAAGAAGGCCUUCGGGUUGUAAAGUUCUUUCGGUAGCGAGGCGUUAACUACAGAAGAAGCACCGGCUAACUCCGUGCCAGCAGCCGCGGUAAUAC